UGGUGGGUAGUUUGACUGGGGCGGUCUCCUCCUAAAGAGUAACGGAGGAGCACGAAGGUUGGCUAAUCCUGGUCGGACAUCAGGAGGUUAGUGCAAUGGCAUAAGCCAGCUUGACUGCGAGCGUGACGGCGCGAGCAGGUGCGAAAGCAGGUCAUAGUGAUCCGGUGGUUCUGAAUGGAAGGGCCAUCGCUCAACGGAUAAAAGGUACUCCGGGGAUAACAGGCUGAUACCGCCCAAGAGUUCAUAUCGACGGCGGUGUUUGGCACCUCGAUGUCGGCUCAUCACAUCCUGGGGCUGAAGUAGGUCCCAAGGGUAUGGCUGUUCGCCAUUUAAAGUGGUACGCGAGCUGGGUUUAGAACGUCGUGAGACAGUUCGGUCCCUAUCUGCCGUGGGCGCUGGAGAACUGAGGGGGGCUGCUCCUAGUACGAGAGGACCGGAGUGGACGCAUCACUGGUGUUCGGGUUGUCAUGCCAAUGGCACUGCCCGGUAGCUAAAUGCGGAAGAGAUAAGUGCUGAAAGCAUCUAAGCACGAAACUUGCCCCGAGAUGAGUUCUCCCUGAGACUUUAGGUCUCCUGAAGGAACGUUGAAGACGACGACG
rnacentral:rRNA from 1 species